CACGGGCCGGUCUAGCAAGGCCGGGUCCUUGCUUGCUGGACGACCGGAACCCAGCGGCUCUGAAUUCGGACAGUCUAGCCUUCACCUCUACGGUGGCCCGUAGGUCCCGUCCCGUCACAGCCGUGGCGGCAGCUACACGCAAAGGAAAAAUGCUAAAGCUAGCGAAAAUCGAGCAGGAAUAUUAAGGAGCUACAGCAGCUUCACGUCCAUCAGCAGCGUUUGUUCACAACCGUUUUCAGGUCAGCAUGCACUGUGCUGCACAUCUGCCUCUGUGCUGGUGAAGUUGUGGGUCUGGAGGAUGAGCCUGAGGAAGAUGUGUGUGGAGGAGGUCAGUGGUGCUCUGUCCUGGAGGAGGUACCAGCAGACCACCACUAUUGUUAACAGGCAAGUCAUUCACAGAGAUGUAACAGCCGUCGUCUGAGCCAGCCCAGCAGUAGAUGGACGAUGGAGUGGACAGUGAGAGCAAGCGUCCCAAAGCUCUCUCGGCAGACCGUCCUGUAUGAUGUUCUUCUGGCCAGAAACGUCCAGCCACGGGUCUGCUCCAGCCCUCCAUCCACGUCUGGAUCCUCCUGCAGCAGAUCCAGCUGCACUGUUAAAGACUUCCUGCUCACUCAGUUUAAAUAAAUGAUCCAGGAAGAGUCACUCAGGUUAAUCCUGCUUUAACCGUACAUAACUGGUUCAUAUUGGUUUUCAUCUGUAAAUAAGUAACGUAUUAUAAAUAAUCUUGUCUCCUUACCAUCUUUUCAUUUUCUGUUCAUGUAACAUGUUCAAAAACAUCUGUAAUAAUAAAACUGGCGAUAAAAUCAA